GGCCGGCAUACUAAAAAAUUGCAUAGUUUGAAAAAUCGCAAAAUUUCCCCCAUUUUGUUCUCUUCUUUUUUUCCACUAGAGCUGAGGGGUGCCAUGAAAAACCUCACCGAAACUACCACAUCUAACGCACACGCGCGCAUCAUUUUGAUCUAACGCCUAAAAACCAAAACAAUGUGUUUUUUUCACCAUGGAUGCGCCGUGUUAACCCCAUUCCACCCUUUGCUGUCCCCGCCCCCGCCACGAAGCGACGAUCUGUUUCUUCAAGUAUUUUAAAUUUCUCCGCAGCUAUUAUUUUUUUCUUUUGGUACGUAAAUAUUUUACAGAUUUUUACUUUCAUGUUAUUUAUUAUUUUCUCUAUUCAGAAUUUGAUUACUGUUCCGUAUUUGGAUUGAGACAGACUGUUGUACUGUGAUUGGAUCAAAUUAAGAUUAAAGAGCCUAGGGUUUCAAAUGAGCUGGAGAUUAGUGCUUUACACGAGCAGUUAGCUCAUAUGUAACUUCGUCUUUAUCAAUUUUGUUGCAAAUGUUGUUUAUUUGACUCACAAUAUAGUUUCGAGGUUUGAAAAUCUACUGAUUUGUAUAAGUUCUUGAUGGAAGGUUUUUAUUUUUCUUGUUUUGGCUUUAUGCUGUAAUGAGAAAAAUCAAUAUGAAUAGUUGAUUGUUGUUGUGUUUAAUUCAUUUAUACUGUGAUUAUUUUUGCUAUUAUUAUAUUUGUGCACUUCCUAAGUUUCUAUAUCAAUUGUGUACAUAGGUGUCUUUUCUUUUUUUGGUUUGAGAAUGGAGAAGAAAUAAGAAGAAGAGAGAAAAUGUUGCUUUUUAAGUCUUUUUUCUAUGCAAUGAGGACUUGUAAUGGUGGUAUAUUAUAACUUGAAAUUUAUAGGAGAAUUGCUUUUAGUAUAUUAGCCUUAAAUUUAUUGCAGAACUACUUGGAUAAUGUGAUGGUAAAGUCACUUAAGAUGAUUUUUUCUGUUCUAUCAUCUGGAAUUAUUACUUCUUAGGUCAUGAGCACUUUGAUGGUUCUGAUUUCAUGAAGUUUCUUGAGACUUGAAAGCUUUUUUUAAUCUACAUAUAGAUUUCAUAUCACAGGACAAUGGCAAAUUGCAUGUAGGUUUAUGUAGUUUGGGAGUUGUGAAUGUCGACAAUAGUAAAAUAUGAGAGUGUAGAGAAAGCAGUGUGCAAACAAACUGCAUGCAAAUGCGUGGGAAUUGCAGCUGAUAGAAAAAGGGAAAUGGUUCUUUUGUGUCAGAACACCUGCUCACUGGAAUUAUUUUGGUUUUGAUAAGACUCACUUUAAAUAAAACUAAUUGUGUGCAGGAACUAAUUCUGCAAUCCUAGCUAUCUGCUGUGAAGAUAAUGUCAGAGCUAACAGGUAUUAUGAAAGAAACUUCUGUAAAUGGCACCGAGUCGUCUCCAGAUGAUAUUGGUAGCAUUGAGGAAAUGCCAGAGGACACUACUUUAUCUCAACAAACUCCUGUUACCCUUGUCCCAUUUAUUGGCCAAAGAUUUGUUUCACAAGAUGCUGCUUAUGAAUUUUAUUGCAGUUUUGCAAAGCAAUGUGGCUUUUCAAUUAGACGUCAUCGUACUAGAGGCAAAGAUGGUGUAGGCAGGGGAAUUACAAGGAGGGAUUUCACCUGCCACCGUGGUGGCCAUCCACAAAUAAAGCCAUCAGAUGAUGGAAAAAUGCAAAGAAAUCGAAAAUCAUCUCGGUGUGGAUGUCAAGCAUAUAUGCGAAUUGUUAAAAGUGCUGAUUUUGAUGUUCCGGAAUGGCGUAUUACUGGUUUCAGCAAUGUUCAUAACCAUGAAUUGUUGAAAUCAAAUGAGGUGCAGCUGCUUCCUGCUUACUGCUCCAUAUCUGCAGAUGACAAGAGUCGGAUUUGCCUGUAUGCAAAAGCUGGUAUGUCAGUGCGACAAAUGUUAAGAUUAAUGGAGCUAGAGAAAGGUGUUAAGUUAGGUUGUUUACCAUUCACUGAGAUAGAGGUCAGGAACCUCUUGCAAUCCUUUAGGAAUGUGGAUCGAGAUAGCGAUGCUAUGGACCUUCUUAAGAUGUGCAAAUACAAGAAGGACAAAGAUCCCAACUUUAAACAUAACUUCCAGAUAGAUGCAAAUAACAGGUUGGAGCAUCUAGCCUGGUCAUAUGCUUCAUCUAUUCACUCGUAUGAGGCUUUUGGGGAUUCCAUAUUGUUUGACACCACACGUCGUCUGGAUUCUUAUGAUAUGAUUCUAGGGAUUUGGCUUGGAGUUGACAAUCAUGGGAUGAAUUGUUUCUUUGGUUGUGUGCUCCUACGAGAUGAAAAUGUGCAGUCUUUUUCCUGGGCGUUGAAGACAUUCUUGGACUUCAUGAAUGGAAAGACACCAGAAACGAUAUUAACUGACCAAAAUAUGUGGCUCAAAGAAGCUAUUGCUAUCGAAAUGCCAAGGACCAAGCAUGGCUUUUGUAUAUGGCAUAUCAUUGCAAAGUUCACUGAUUGGUUUUCUGUAGUGCUUGGGUUAAAAUAUGAUGAAUGGAAGGCUGAGUUUCACCAGCUUUAUAGUUUGCAUUCAGUGGAGGAAUUUGAAUCAGGAUGGAGUGAGAUGGUUGAUAAAUAUGCACUACAUGCAAAUAAGUAUAUCCUAAGCUUAUAUGCAUUGCGCACUUUUUGGGCCCUUCCAUAUUUGAGGUGUUACUUUUUUGCUGGAAUGACAAGUGCUUUCCAAUCAGAGUCGAUAAACUCUUUUAUUCAACGGUUUUUGAGUGUGCAGUUUCAUGUUGAUAACUUUGUGGGGCAGGUGGCUGCUAUUGUUGAAUUUAAAGAUGAAGCUGGAGGAAAACAAAAGACACAACGGAAGGUACAGAAAAUCUCCCUAAAAGAAGGAUCUCCAAUGGAAUCACAUGCUGCAGCUGUUCUUACACCAUAUGCCUUCAGUAAACUACAAGAAGAGCUUGUUUUAGCUCCACAAUAUGCUUCACUUAUGGUAGAUCAAACUUAUUUUAUUGUUAGACAUCAUACGGACAUGGAUGGAGGGUGCAAAGUACUCUGGAUCCCACAUGAUGACUUCAUUAGCUGCAGCUGCCAUUUCUUUGAGUUUUCUGGAAUCCUUUGCAGGCAUGUUCUUCGUGUUCUAUCAACUAACAACUGUUUCCACAUUCCAGAUCGUUACUUGCCCGCCCGAUGGCGUAAUAUCAACUCAUCUCUGACAAAGUCCUUCCAGAUUUCUACUUCAGAUGAACAUACAGGAAAAGUACAAUUAUUGCAAUCCACGGUUUCAACACUUAUUUCAGAAUCAACUGAGACAGAAGAACGCCUAGAUGCUGCUUGCGAUCAAAUUUCUCUGGUCUUAUCUCGUAUCAAGGAAUUUCCUGGGCCAGCACAUGGUGCCAAUGAUGUUACUUAUAAUAGUCCUUCUGACUCAAUGAUACUUCCAGAGGUUGAAGAUUCUGAUGGAAUUGUCCAAAGUUAUACUACUGGAAAUUCACAUGACUCUAUAACCCUGGGAAAACUCAAAGAAAGAAGACCAAGGGAUGGUGUCGAUAUAUAUAGGAAACACAGGCGUUGCUCUGUGCCUUGUUGCGGUCAAUUCGGACAUGAUGCAACCAAUUGUCCAAUGAUGGGAGCUGAUGAUUUGAAUGGAAAUGGGCUGGGAUUUCUGUAGGAUGAUGUAUAUGGUUAGAAGAAAUCAGAAGGUGGAUAUCAGUGAUCAGUUCUAUUGAAGAAGCUAGCUCAUGUGUGCUUAAAUCUUCUAUAGAAAGCUUGUUGAUUUUCAUAAAUAAGAAAAAUUUUAGUCGCAAAUUCCCUGUCAAUGUUGUGUAAGUUUUCAGUAUCAUCAGCCAGUGAAACCUUGCUCAGCCUACUUGGCAAUGUUUUGACAUCGUUGGUUCUCUCCUUUCUGCUUCCACCACGGCGGCCGCUUGUUCCAUAAACUGCUCUACGUGCAACUGCUUUCCCCAAGUUGGAUUUCUUAGAUUCAUUUCUAUGUUGUGGUGUUUGUUGCUCACUGGAAUCAUGUUGGAUGCCGUCAAUGUAUUCAGUGUCAGAAACUCCAGCUUUUGCUUUUUCAGUGGCCAUUUCUAUAUUCCUUCUCUCAGUGAUGCAAAGGAAUUGUAAGGAGGAAGAGGUGAAGCCAAUGCAGAUGAAGAUGUGUAUGGCGGACAGACAGGUAAGUAAAUAGUUUUAUACUGUUUUGAAUAGAAAAAUAUAUUGUUAAAGAAGGCACACACACGUCUUUCUUACUUUACCUUGGGAAAUGGUGUUGGCAUCUGAGUUUGGAAUUUGCGGCUAUACCGUUUUUUGGCCGAAAGAAUAGCCUUCGUAGAAUCCUCCUUUACACCGUUUUACCCAGUUACAAGUAACUUUGAUAGGAAGCAACUAAAUUAUCAUAGCAACAGUCUUUCGCUUUGCAAAUUUGGUAUCACGUGGGAAAGAACAAUAAAGCUAUGUCUACAAUUAAAGACAUAUUAUAAUGUGA